rnacentral:rRNA from 1 species
GACGAACGCUGGCGGCGCGCCUUACACAUGCAAGUCGAACGGCAAGGGCCUGCCUUUGUGGGGUGCUCGAGUGGCGAACGGGUGAGUAACACGUGAGUAACCUGCCCUUGACUUUGGGAUAACUUCAGGAAACUGGGGCUAAUACCGGAUAGGAGCUCCUGCUGCCUGGUGGGGGUUGGAAAGUUUAGGCGGUUGGGGAUGGACUCGCGGCUUAUCAGCCCGUUGGUGGGGUAGUGGCAUACCAAGGCAUUGACGGGUAGCCGGCCUGAGAGGGUGACCGGCCACAUUGGGACUGAGAUACGGCGCAGACUCCUACGGGAGGCAGCAGUGGGGAAUAUUGCACAGUGGGCGGAAGCCUGAUGCAACAACGCCGCGUGCGGGAUAACGGCCCGCGGGUUGUAAACCGCUUUCGCCUGUGACGAACCGUGAGUGACGGUAAUGGGUAAAGAAGCACCGGCUAAUUACGUG